rnacentral:rRNA from 1 species
GACGUAGGGCGCAAGCGUUGUCCGGAUUUAUUGGGCGUAAAGAGCUCGUAGGCGGCUUGGUAAGUCAGGUGUGAAAUCUCCACGCCUCAACGUGGAGGGGCCACCCGAAACUGCCAUGGCUUGAGUCCGGUAGGGGAGUGUGGAAUUCCCGGUGUAGCGGUGAAAUGCGCAGAUAUCGGGAGGAACACCCGUAGCGAAGGCGGCACUCUGGGCCG